GACGAACGCUGGCGGCGUGCUUAACACAUGCAAGUCGAACGGAAAGGCCCUGCUUUUGUGGGGUGCUCGAGUGGCGAACGGGUGAGUAACACGUGAGUAACCUGCCCUUGACUUUGGGAUAACUUCAGGAAACUGGGGCUAAUACCGGAUAGGAGCUCCUGCUGCAUGGUGGGGGUUGGAAAGUUUCGGCGGUUGGGGAUGGACUCGCGGCUUAUCAGCUUGUUGGUGGGGUAGUGGCUUACCAAGGCUUUGACGGGUAGCCGGCCUGAGAGGGUGACCGGCCACAUUGGGACUGAGAUACGGCCCAGACUCCUACGGGAGGCAGCAGUGGGGAAUAUUGCACAAUGGGCGGAAGCCUGAUGCAACAACGCCACGUGCGGGAUGACGGCCUUCGGGUUGUAAACCGCUUUCGCCUGUGACGAAGCGUGAGUGACGGUAAUGGGUAAAGAAGCACCGGCUAACUACGUG
rnacentral:rRNA from 1 species